CCUCGGUCUGCAGGGAUGUUACUGCUCUCUGAGCUUGUUCUUGGCUGAUGGAAAUCUGCCCAGUAUUGGUUGAAUGAAAAGCGUGUGUCUUUUGAAGAACAGUGACUGAAAGAAAUAUUGAUGACUGCAAGGGGAUCUACAGAAAAGGAAAGAAAAGAACAAUGCACCUAACUGUUACCCCUGUGAUGGAAAUGUGAGGACAAC